rnacentral:rRNA from 1 species
UGAAUACGAGAUGCUAAGGCGUCGAAGUAGUGUAUGUCAUACUUCCAAGAAAAGCUUGCACUGUCAUAAUAAAAAAUGCCUGUACCAUAACCGACACAGGUGGGUAAGUAGAGUAUACUAAGGGGCGCGAGAUAACUCUCUCUAAGGAACUCGGCAAAAUAACUCCGUAACUUCGGGAGAAGGAGUGCCUUAUUCUUAAGGUUGCAAUAACAAGAUCCAAGCAACUGUUUAUCAAAAACACAGGUCUCCGCUAAGUCGUAAGACGAUGUAUGGGGGCUGACGCCUGCCCAGUGCCAGAAGGUUAAAGAAGUUGGUUAGCAAUUGCGAAGCUGGUAACUGAAGCCCUGGUGAACGGCGGCCGUAACUAUAACGGUCCUAAGGUAGCGAAAUUCCUUGUCGGGUAAGUUCCGACCCGCACGAAAGGCGUAAUGAUUUGGAUGCUGUCUCGGAGAGGGGCUCGGUGAAAUAGACUUGUCUGUGAAGAUGCGGACUACCUGCACCAGGACAGAAAGACCCUAUGAAGCUUUACUGUAACUUGAAAUUGAAAUUGGACUUUAUUUGCGCAGUAUAGGUGGGAGGCGUUGAUUAUAAUCUUGCGGGAUUAUUGGAGCCAUCAGUGAGAUACCACUCUUGUAAUGUUAGAUUUCUAACUUUGAAUCAUUAUCUGGUCAAAGGACAAUUUCAGGCGGGCAGUUUGACUGGGGCGGUCGCCUCCUAAAUGGUAACGGAGGCGUACAAAGGUUUCCUCUGAACGGUUAGAAAUCGUAUCUAGAGUGUAAAGGCAUAAGGAAGCUUGACUGUGAGACCUACAAGUCGAGCAGGGACGAAAGUCGGUCUUAGUGAUCUGACGGUACUGAGUGGAAAGGCCGUCACUCAACGGAUAAAAGUUACUCUAGGAUAACAGGCUGAUCUCCCCCAAGAGUUCACAUCGACGGGGAGGUUUGGCACCUCGAUGUCGGCUCAUCGCAUCCUGGGGCGGUAGUACGUCCCAAGGGUUGGGCUGUUCGCCCAUGAAAGCGGUACGCGAGCUGGGUUCAGAACGUCGUGAGACAGUUCGGUCCAUAUCCGGUGUAGGCGUUAGAAUAUUGAGAGGAGCCUUCUUUAGUACGAGAGGACCGAGAAGGACAUACCUCUGGUGUACCAGUUAUCGUGCCAACGGUAAACGCUGGGUAGCUAUGUAUGGAGUGGAUAACCGCUGAAAGCAUCUAAGUGGGAAGCCCACCUCAAGAUAAG